rnacentral:lncRNA from 1 species
GCGCCCCGCCCCAUUGGCUGCCGAGAGCCUCUCGCGGCCCUCGGGCCGGCGCGCGUGCCGAAGCGCGCACACACAGGCGGGCUCGCGCUCCCGGCCGGCUCCAAGCACCUGAGUGAGAGGAUGCGAGACCGAGGAUGCGAGCGUCGGGCUGUGGACCACCGAGCCCAGGCUCGCCCACGCGGUGACUGCGCGCGUCCACCACGUCGAACAAUUGAAUCUCGGGGAUCGCGGCCCUCGGUCGCCCACCGCUUUGGGAGUUCCCUGCGUCCUAGAAGUCUGAGGAGUUACUCCACACCGCAGAAACCGGACGGCCUGCGCCGGGGGAAUCACGAACUUCAUCAGCACGUGCAUUGGGACAAAUGCUUUGGGAUUAUGGAUAGAUUUCCCAACAUUUGAGAUGUGCCAAGAAAGAGAUAAAGAAAUCAAGUGAAAAAAUGCUCUGGAAUUUGAGAAUAUUGGCACACAACUCUAUGAAUAUACUAAAAAAUACUGAAUUAUGCACUUCAAAAAGAUGAACUUAAUGGUACGUCUGUUAUAUCUCAAUAAAGUUGUUAUAAAAUAUCAAAAAAGGGGCACCUGGGUGGCUCAGUGGGUUAAAGCAUCUGCGUUCGGCUCAGGUCAUGAUCUCAGGGUCCUGGGAUGGAGCCCCGCAUUGGGCUCUCUGCUCAGCAGGGAGCCUGCUUCC